rnacentral:misc_RNA from 1 species
AAGUCGUAACAAGGUUUCCGUAGGUGAACCUGCGGAAGGAUCAUUAACACUUUAAAUCUUUAUUAAAUACCAAACGCGAACUUAUAUCAUACCUACUCGUUAUCAGAGAUGAUAUCGAUAGGCUAAACUUCAUACACUUUUUUAACCACUUUGAAUUUUUGUGUUAUUAACUUAGCAUAAAAACAACAACUCUUCGAUUUGUCUGUAACAAGUCAAAACGAACUAAACUAAAAUAUACAUUUGAUUAUAUUUUUAUUUUACGAAAUAAUAUAUAUUUAUUAAGAACAACUCUUAACAAUGGAUAUCUUGGUUCUC